rnacentral:rRNA from 1 species
CGAACGGGUGAGUAACACGUGGGAAAUCUGCCUAGGAGCGGGGGAUAACAUUCGGAAACGGAUGCUAAUACCGCAUAUCUUUUUGAACCGCAUGGUUCUUAAACGAAAGACGGCUUCGGCUGUCGCUCUUAGAUGAUCCCGCGGCGUAUUAGUUAGUUGGUGGGGUAAAGGCCUACCAAGACCAUGAUACGUAGCCGACCUGAGAGGGUGAUCGGCCACACUGGGACUGAGACACGGCCCAGACUCCUACGGGAGGCAGCAGUAGGGAAUCUUCCACAAUGGGUGAAAACCUGAUGGAGCAAUGCCGCGUGAAUGAAGAAGGUCUUCGGAUCGUAAAGUUCUGUUAUACGGGACGAAUGGUACGACGGUCAAUACCCGUCGUAAGUGACGGUACCGUAAGAGAAAGCCACGGCUAACUACGUG